rnacentral:rRNA from 1 species
UACAGGGGGUGCAAACGUUGCUCGGAAUUAUUGGGCGUAAAGCGCGCGUAGGCGGCCACUUAAGUCGGAUGUGAAAGCCCCUGGCUCAACUGGGGAAGUGCACCCGAAACUGAAUGGCUUGAGUGCGAAAGAGGGUCGCGGAAUUCCCGGUGUAGAGGUGAAAUUCGUAGAUAUCGGGAGGAACACCGGUGGCGAAGGCGGAUCUCUGGGCCUUGCCUGACGCUGAGGCGCGAAAGCUAGGGGAGCGAACAGG